UACCCCCUCGCCCUCCCCAUCUCCUUUGUUUGUGGAGGACGGAUCUGACCUUCCCGGCUCCGCCCGUCACUCGUGAUUGGCGCCGGGUUGGUUGAAGCAUAGAGGUAUGAGCAUGGACCCCGUUCGUAGGGUAAUGGCUUGGUAGGUAGGCAUUCCCUACGCAUCCUGCCGUUGCCCGAGGGGACUUUGCUGGCGACCUAGCAGGAAUUCGGGUGCUCGGGCCACCCCGACCCCGAAACUCUUCA
rnacentral:misc_RNA from 1 species